UCCUACAGUAUUACCGGUAUUAUCUUAUACGUGUUCAACUUGUUGUCUUCCUCUGGGGAAUCUUCAAUCAUGGUACCUAACGAGGCGUUAGUAGUCACAGCAGAUUGCCGCCGCUGUCACUUUUAAACACAUUACGGUUUUAUGUUGCCAGGGAGCGACUCACACGACACCAUGACAAUGUAACGCUGGAUCUGUGGUUACGUUCUCCCCGAACCCAGACUAACGGAGCGUUCUCCCCGAACCCAGACUAACGGAGCGUUCUCCCCGAACCCAGACUAACGGAGCGUUCUCCCCGAACCCAGACUAACGGAGCGUUCUCCCCGAACCCAGACUAACGGAGCGUUCUCCCCGAACCCAGACUAACGGAGCGUUCUCCCAGACUAACGGAGAUAGGGGGCUAACGAGCUACUUACUAGCUCCCGUACUGGCUGCCCUGUCGGAGAGGUAUAAUGGACUUCUCUUUUGAUAUUAACCAGGUAUUCUCAGAGAGAGUCUCCAUCUUGGACCAGACGCUCGCUGCAGGUCGUAAAUCAGCAGGAACGCCACAUCUUCAAGCUCACAUAGCCACAGUUAUUGAUGAACUUGGGAGAGCCUCAGCAAAGGCCCAACAGCUCCCAGCAUCUAUAACCAGUGCUUCCAAGCUGCAGUCCCAGAGGCAUCAGCUCUACCUGCUGAAGGAUGGAGAGAGCAACGGAGGACGUGGUGUGGUCGUGGGAUUUCUCAAGGUCGGCUACAAGAAGUUAUUUCUGCUUGACCGACAGGGUGUGCACAUAGAGGCAGAGCCACUGUGUGUUCUGGAUUUCUAUAUAGCAGAGAACCUUCAGCGACAUGGCUACGGGCUGGAGCUGUUUGAUUUCAUGUUGCAGCAAAAGAAUUUAGAGCCAGUUCUGAUGGCUUACGACAGGCCCUCACCCAAAUUCCUGUCUUUCCUGGCGAAGCAUUUCUUCCUGACACAAAGUGUUCCUCAGGCCAAUAACUUUGUGGUGUUCGAAGGCUUCUUCCUCAACAGAUCAGUGGCCCAGUUGAGAAAGGUUCCCUUGAGAAAGCCGGACGGAGAGAUCAAACCCUACUCUUUAAUGGAGAGAGAAGUGGUGCUUCAGGAGCAACGGGCUCGUCCUUGGCCGUUUGCUCCUCCUCACUCGCCCCAGCAGUCGGUAUCCUCCCAGUGCUCCCAUUCCCUCAGCGUGGGAUCCUCCCCCAGCAGGGCGCCCCCUCGUGCCUCCCCAUCUUCUUUCCCUGGGGGCAACAGGGACCAGAGCCCACAGUCCCCUUUCAUCGAGCGCUGCAGAGCAAGGCGCAGCAGGUGGUGGUGGAGAGAGUGGUGCUACAUUUUUUGUGAUUUUUUUUCAAACUUUUCUUAAUUUUGUUGUGUUUUUGUAGAGAGAAACCUGUGUUUCUUGUCAGGGAUGGCAUCCCUGUCUUUGAGGCAUGGAGUUUGGGUUUUAAAAGAGAAGCAAUUUGUGGCGGAAAUAAUAUUGAGCGGCGUCUCGCUGAAUGGCGUUUAUCUGCAGGUGUCCCGGCUCGCCGUGCCCUCCACCCGAGUCACCGUCUCCGGUGUUCCCCCGUUCAUCCCCAACCAGGUGUUGGAGCGGGAGCUGCAGCGCUUCGGGAAGCUAGUGAGCAGCUUCAGAACUGUCGGGAUGGGUUUAAAAAACGAUAAGCUUAAACAUGUCAAGUCCUUGAUGUUCCUUAUUGGUGUUAUAUCAUUAGAUCAAGAAAAGACUUUUGAUCAUGGUUUUAUUUUUUCCACUUUAAGGGCAUUUGGUUUUGGUGAAGGGUUUCUGUCACUGUUUGAUGUACAAGGAAGCUUCUUGUCUGGUAAAGGUGGGGGGGCGCACUGAGCUGUCCAGUUCAGGUCCAGAGAGGUAUCAGACGGGGAUGUCUUAUCUCUGUAUAGCUAUAUUCUAUUGCCAUUGAGCCUUUCUAAACAGGUUGAGAUCCCGUCUGUCAGGACUCAUGUUACCUGGGCGGCCUGAGCUGGUGGUGUCAGCAUAUGCUGAUGACAUUAAUGUGCUUGUUGAAGACCAAAGGGUUGUCAAUGUCCUAGGUUUUGUUUUUGUUUGAGAGGGCAUCUUCAGCAACUGUAAACUGGGGGAAAAGUGAAGCUUUUCAGGUUGGGCAGUGGUUAAACAAAGAAACACCAGAGCUACCAGGAAACAUCAGAUGGGGAAGGCAGGGCUUGAAAGUUGUGGGUGUUUUUUUGGGAACAGAGGAGUUUCAAAGACAGCACUGUGAUGAUGCUAUAGAGAGAGUGUGUACCAGACUAUCAAAAAGGAAAUGGCUGCUACCUCAGCUCUCUUACAGGGAAAGGGUCCUAAUUGUCAAUGACUUGGAUGCCUCGACCCUUUGGCACAGACUGGUAGUCCUACCUCCACCACAGGGCCUGAUCGAAGUAAUCCAGACAAUCUCUCUCUCUGUCUCAGUCUCUCGCUUUCUCUCUCACUCUCUCCUUCUCUGUCUGUCUCUUUGUCUCUGUCUCUCUCGUUCUGCUUGAGUACGUCUUUCUAAACAUGUUCUGUCUCUCUUUUUCUCUUCCCCUUCCCCCUUUUCUUCUCCUGUUCCACCCGCUUUGUCUUCUGUUACUCAUUUGAUGUGCCCCAUCCCCUCACUGUCGUCUGGCCAUAUUUCAUACAAUAGUUCCCUUAAUAGAUCUCAUCUGGGCUUCCAUUGACCAGCCUCUGUCUAGCACUGGUGCCUCUUCCCUUGGACAUGGAGUGUGUUAACAUGUGCACGAUUAUCUUAUUUAGUUUUUUGUCAUGUUCUGGAUAUGGAGCAUGAAUACCCAGGGUUUUUAUCUUCCACUAUACAUGAGUUUUCACCAUCUCAGCCACUAUGUUCUGUAAAAACUAAUAAGGUACAUGCAACAGUAUUCUGCUAUCAUAACCAGGACACAAGUGCGCCUCUAAACACACUCCUGAAGCAGGGGAGAACACCAUGGCUCUGUCUCUGCUUGCCUUUUUCUAGACCUCAUUAAAGUAUCUGCCACUGAACUCCACGUGAUUGCCUUCUGUCUCACACAUUAUUAAGCAACCAAAGCGGUGGAUAUGAGAUGAGGCUGCUCUGUCUACUCCCAAGUCUUCUUUCCAUUCUGUGGCUUUUUAUUUCUUAUGAGUUAGAUUUUAUUGAUAACAUGUGUUCAUGUUUACGCUCAUUCAUGUUUUGUUAUAUUUUGGUUUUACUCGGUUUUGUAAUUCUGUUCUUUUUUUUGUUUUACCGUUGUCUGACCCAAACUGUCCUUUGACUUGCACGUACAUCUCCUCUCGUACUCCUGUCCUUUCUCUUUUUCACCCCGCUCUGAAUGUUUUGGGAUGUCAUUCCAUCCCGCUUGCUGCCAGUCACCAUUUGUUUGGUAGCAGACUGGGUCUAGUUGCCAGAAGCAGCCUGUACAGUCGGCACAUGGACAGCAGAGCUGCUGGACUGCUGGACAGACCCUUACCAGGUAUGAGACCAGUUGGGGAUCAGUCACACGCACUGGAAUACAUAGACACACACAGGUUGGCCAGUAUUCCGACAGCACGGAGCAGGUUCCAGCCUCUCUCACUUCCACUUCUGUGUGCAUCCAACAAGGACGGAAUCCACAGGCAGACCUCCUUAGACUGCACAGAGGAGCACCUGGAUUCACAUGCUGAGGCCCGUGGUGCUGUGGAGGAUGUCAGGGCGUUGGACAGUCCACAGCGUUCAGCACCAGGCAUGCCGGUCGGCAAGAGACAUGCGUUGGAGAAGGAGGACGACGGAGGCAGGCUAGGCUGGUCCUGGACUGUAGAAGAGAACUGCUACACCGCCCAGUGGGUGAAGCAGAAGCAUGAACACAAGAGCACCCAGCCCUGGUGAUUGGGAACUAGUUCUUAUAUUUAAAUGUUUGAAAAAAAUGUAUUGUAUUCUGGAACCAUUCAACCUUUUAGAACACACAUAUGAGCUGAAGCAGGAACUCUGUAAGACCUUCAGAUGUGUUCUGGAGCAUUGAUGCGAUGAUUUCUUGCUGAGAAACAUUCAAACAUUACUUCAGGGCUAAAACACUGAUCUGGAAAAAAGCACUGCCAGUCUUUCCGUUUAAAAGGGGUUUGUUCUCGUGCUGCAGGAAUGACUCCUAAAACCAGGCACUGAGUCUUAACAAAUAAGUCUAAGAGACGACUAAACAUUAUCAAUAGAACACUAGUCCUUAGUAUAGACUAACGUGAAGUCAUGUGACCGUAGUGGAGUUCCUCUAGACUAACGUGAAGUCAUGUGUACAAAAAUACAUCAUCCCAGACUUAUGACAGUGCUUCACUAUCAGAACGGUAUUAACGGAAAAUUAUGUAAAGAAGAAUAAUGACAUCAAUCAUAAAUAAUACAAAAUGAGAUAUAACUGCUAGUCUGAUCUGCACUAUUUAAGAAAGUCAUGGCUAUGUCCAAUCCUUGUCACAGGACAACUACAACUUUAAAUAUGAUUCUUCUAUUCAUUUACAGUAUCUAUUAAUCUAACUGUUCAGAAUGGACAUGCAACUGCUUUAGUCUCAGAAAAAGAAGGAAAAAAAUGUCAUAGUUAGACCAAAAAUACUAUCCUAAAGUUAAAAUGUGACUUGGUAUUAAAUAUAGUUUGGGAAAAGAUUCCAUACUUAAAAUCAUGAAUGUCAGUCUAAACUGAUAAAUGAGGCCCACUGGUGUCUGCCCUCCGACAGCCUCUUGAAGCUUGACAACUAAUCCAAAUGACAAGUGACUCCCUCUGACCAUGAACUUUCUAAAACAGCUAAAUGAACUCAUCACUCUUGGUGAAUGAAACAACAUAAAAGUCUAUCUGAAAGUGUGACACAUGGUAUGACCUCGAUCCUUUGAAGAAUCCUGAGACCUUUAACCGCAGUGGGAAUGUUUUUGUUCUUUUGCAUUGGGUGGGUUUGGAUUCUUACUGGUCAUUGACAAGUGAGGCUGAGCCUCUGAACUAAAGUUAUGGGACUCAUAAGUGGCUUGGUGUUUGCAUCCCUUGAUAACAUAAGACAUUAAGCAUGCUUCAGUGGCAGACAUGACAGGAAUACCUAUUUCCACAUGAACUCACUGGCACAUGGAAUACUAUGGGAAAAGCCAUACUUUUCUUCCCAAAAAGCAGUACCAGUGAAAGCUGUUGCCAGCCAUUCACCCCAGUGUAUUCUGACACAGAUAUUCAACAUAAAACUGAAAAAAAAUGGAUUCCUGCAUUAUUUUGGUGGUUUUCACCAAGAAAUAAGGAUCACGUAACGGGAUGUAGAUCAUCUCCAUGUACUGUAUGAUCACAUGUAGAUCAUCUCAUGGGCAGGGCUGGGUUUACUGACGCCAACAUGUCACACACAUCAACCCUAAGACCAGAACAACUUUCUUGUGACUAAAUAAUCCUGACUCAAGGUCCACUUUCUAGCUUCCACAGGUGAUGGCAACAGAGCAAACUCCUUCCACUUGUGAAAGCUGGUUAAAAGCUUCUGAUAGUGAGUCACACUGACUUGAGUCUUUAUUUAUAGUAAUAAUCUAGGGAGGUAUAGGAAGCUUGGCCUGCUGUAACGAACGGACUACCACCAGAGCUCUAAUUAUGUAUUGUGCAUAGUGCAGAAUAUGUCUGAUGAAAUAGGGAUUCAAAUCAGCAGAAUGAAGUUUCCAUAUAAAGCAGUGGAGCAGCACACACAAUGCAGUGCUGCGUUAAUGUUUGUUCUGGCCCUUGACACAUUCGGCACGUUCUGUUACUCAGUAUCCCAGCAACCUCUGCUUGAGCAGACUAACUGCACCUCUGAAUCCACAGCUGCAUGCUGAGCUCCAAUCAACAGACAUCAGAUACACAAACAGGAUUUUAUUGAUUUAUCUUUCAAACUCUCAAAGUUGACCAACUUGUACGCUAUUCUGUGUCUUUCAAAUGUUCUUCGUCAUUAAAUGAGGGUGUUUUAAUUUGUACAGGACCAACAGCCAAGGAAAUACUACUCGUUACCAACCACGUACUUAAAUGACUGUUUUCUGAGGCUAUGAUGUUUGCCUUUGUUAAAACUGGAGCAUUUAGGAGCAGACUCAACGUAUCUGCGUAGUCAUGUUACCUGUCAGAGUAAAUUUGCUCAGGUUUCUCAUCUUUGCCUUUUAAGUAACUCAUGUAGUACUUUGACCUUUUCCAGCAAAGCUUGUUUUUCCUUUCCAUCAGCAGAGUGAACUCCAUGGGAACACCAGCUACUCACAGGGAGGAUGUUUAAUGAUUACAAUAAGAGCUGCGUAGUGUUCCGGGUCACUUCAAGUGAGGAGAAUAAAAAAGCCUCAUUUAUGCUUCAUGUUUGCACACUCAGGCCAAACGAGAAGUAUUUAGGAUUUUGGGAAAUUAGCUUAUUUUUGUUUUUUAUCUAUCAAUCUGGCCUGUGUGACAAGUACGAAAGCGGAGUCAGGAUUUGGUUAGCUUAGCUUACCAUAGCAUAAAGACUGGGAGCAGAGGAACAAAAUAUUAAUAUUUAUCUGGACAUCUCACUGUCCAAAAGAAAGAAUACACUCAUUUACCUGACUUAAAUUUCUACACACAGUGUCUGAUGGCUACCAGCAUUGUUGUUACACUAGCGUCCCUAUACAGCAGCCCUAUCUUUUGAAGAUAUUUUAAGGUCUACAAUUUUAAGCAAUUCCCGGAAGCCUCUGUCCCUCCUGCUGAGUCCAUGUGAGGUCUAGUCAGCGUCUCGCAGUAAGGACAGGUAGACGUCGGACUGGAGGAAGCGGGGAUAGCAGUCUGUGUCCAGGAGUGAGAAGAUACGCUUCUGUGCGUGGGACAGAGAGGUGUGAGAAGGAGCCUGUAGCAGCUGGACGGUCAGAUCCCGGGUCUUACUGUCCAGGUUCACCUAGCACAGGACGGCACAGAGGGCAAGUAUGGGCUACAUUCAAAGGACAAGCCAGAGUGUUACAACUUUACUUUUCGACCAUUGUUUCUAUCAACUAAACUGUUGGCUUGUUUCCAACCUAUCUGAUCAA